GAAACAGUGGCUAAGACUGGAUAGGAAGAUAAAAGGCAUCUUUUAUCUUUUAAAAGACCUAGUAAUAGGUAUGCUUUAGGAGGGGCUUGCGCCAUAUUAGUUAGUUGGUAGGGUAAUGGCCUACCAAGACGAUAAUGUGUAGCUGGACUGAGAGGUUGAACAGCCACAUUGGGACUGAGACACGGCCCAAACUCCUACGGGAGGCAGCAGUAGGGAAUUUUCGGCAAUGGAGGAAACUCUGACCGAGCAACGCCGCGUGAAUGACGAAGUACUUCGGUAUGUAAAGUUCUUUUAUCAAGGAAGAAAAGCAAAUGGCGAACCAUUUGUUUGCCGGUACUUGAUGAAUAAGCCCCGGCUAAUUAUGUGCCAGCAGCCGCGGUAAGACAUAAGGGGCAAGUGUUAUCCGGAAUUAUUGGGCGUAAAGGGUGCGUAGGCGGUCUAGUAAGUCAGUGGUGUAAUGGCAACGCUUAACGUUGUCCGGCUAUUGAAACUGCUAAACUUGAGUUAGAUAGAGGCGAGUGGAAUUCCAUGUGUAGCGGUAAAAUGCGUAAAUAUAUGGAGGAACACCAGAGGCGUAGGCGGCUCGCUGGGUCUUAACUGACGCUGAGGCACGAAAGCGUGGGGAGCAAACAGGAUUAGAUACCCUGGUAGUCCACGCCGUAAACGAUGAGUACUAAGUGUCGGGUUAAACCGGUACUGAAGUUAACACAUUAAGUACUCCGCCUGAGUAGUACGUACGCAAGUAUGAAACUUAAAGGAAUUGACGGGACUCCGCACAAGCGGUGGAUCAUGUUGUUUAAUUCGAAGAUACCCGAAAAACCUUACCAGGUCUUGACAUGUUUUUGCAAAAUGAUAGUAAUAUCGUGGAGGUUACCAGAAACACAGGUGGUGCAUGGUUGUCGUCAGCUCGUGUCGUGAGAUGUUAGGUUAAGUCCUAAAACGAGCGAAACCCUUAUCGUUAGUUGCCAGCACGUUAUGGUGGGGACUUUAACGAGACUGCCAAUGAUAAAUUGGAGGAAGGUGAGGAUCACGUCAAAUCAGCAUGCCCCUUAUGACCUGGGCUACAAACGUGAUACAAUGGCUGUUACAAAGGGUAGCUGAAACGCAAGUUCUUGGCCAAUCCCCAAAAACAGUCCCAGUCCGGAUUGAAGUCUGCAACUCGACUUCAUGAAGUUGGAAUCGCUAGUAAUCGCGAAUCAGCAUGUCGCGGUGAAUACGUUCUCGGGGUUUGUACACACCGCCCGUCA
rnacentral:rRNA from 1 species